rnacentral:misc_RNA from 1 species
UCUCCACAGUUACGUGGUAGGAUACGCAACCCUAUGAUCCGGCCCUCAUGGAGGAGGAGACAUGCUCUCUCUGAAAUGGCGAUAACCGGGUUCAUGUUUUGCCUUUACCUCUCCACAGUUACGUGGUAGGAUACGCAACCCUAUGGAUCCGGCCCUCAUGGAGGAGGAGACAUGCUCUGUCUGAAAUGGCGAUAACCGGGUACAUGUCUUGCCUCUACCUCUCCACAGUUACGUGGUAGGAUACGCAACCCUAUGAUCCGGCCCUCAUGGAUGAUGAGACAUUCCCAAUGCUCUYUCUGAAAUGGCGAUAACCGGGUACAUGUCUUGCCUCUACCUCUCCACAGUUACGUGGUAGGAUAUGCAACCCUAUGAUCCGGCCCUCAUGGAGGAUGAGACAUGCCCGCUCAAAAGCGACAACUGGCUCGGCUGUUGCGUUUGUCUUUCCACGCAAGUGGAAUUGCAGGGUAACUACCGACGCUGGACGUCACCGA